AGCUCUGUAAGCGUAUACCCAAGUUGUUGCAGUUAAAACGCUCGUAGUCGGAGGUUGGCGGGCGAGACGGGGCGUCCUCGCGGACGGACCCGGGUCGGCCGCCUUUGUGGAGGGGGGCACGUGGCCGCUUCAGUGCGGUUGCGUUGUCGCUGCCACCGUUUACUGUGAAAAAAUUAGAGUGUUCAAAGCGGGCGUUUGCCAUGAAUACCUUAGCAUGGAAUAAUAGAAUAGGACCUGCGUCCUGUUUUGUUGGUUUGUGAGGACCGGGUAAUGAUUAAGAGGGACGGUUGGGGGCAUUUGUAUUCCGGCGUCAGAGGUGAAAUUCUUGGAUUGUCGGAAGACAAACGGCUGCGAAAGCGUCUGCCAAGGACGUUUUCA
rnacentral:rRNA from 1 species